AUGCUGCUCACUGUCGUUUUGGUCGUUUUUCUGUUUGUUGUUGUUACGAAAAAGGGAGGUGGAAAGUUAGUGCAAAAUGCAUGGCAAUCCUUGGUCGAGCUUAUUUAUGAUUUCGUGAUGAACCUGGUAAACAAACAAAUAGGUGGUCUUUUCGGAAGUGUGAAACAAAAGUUGUUACCUGCAUCUCGGUCACUUUUACUUUUUCAUUAUUUCAUCAUUAUUGAAUAUAUUCUUCUUUCAUGUGCUUUGCCUUUCCCCUUUGUCGUACCUUUCGUAGUAGUUACUCGCCACUAG
rnacentral:rRNA from 1 species